rnacentral:lncRNA from 1 species
CGCAAGUUCCCCAAAGACAUCGAGGGGAAGGGGGGGGGGGGGGGAAGGGGGGGGGGGGGGGGGGAUGGAUGUGUCAGCGGCACGCUGCGCCCAGAUGUGCUCCAGCUCCCGCUGCCGGGCCCCAAGCCCUGGGCUCCCCGCAGGGUGCCCCGGAGCAAAGCCACAUCCCCGGGGGGGGCGGACACGGAGGGCACGGCGCGGGGGGGCCUCCCCCUCACCCCCAACCCCGGACACGUGUGGGCGCCCCCCCGGCGCUCCUCUCUCUCCCGGCAGCUGCUCGGCAGAUGGGCUCGCAGCAGCCACAGCCCCGGGCCCCUCCGCGGGGCUGCCGGCACGGCCGGCCCCCAGCUCCCCCCUCCCCGACGGCUUGGCCUGGAGCCGAGCUCCCGGGGCGGGGGCCGUCCCCGCUGGGCCGCGGGGGUGAGACGCGAGGCCGGCCAGGAUAAACAAGAGGCCCCAGCGCCGGCAGCGCGGUGGCUCGGCCGGCGCACACCGCAGAGCGCUGCAAUAACAGCCCGGGGGCCGCCGCCGUCAAAGGGCCCUUCUUCUGCACGGCGCCCGUCGAGGCUGGAAGGGGUGGGAGAGGGGGGGGGGGGGGGGACGGGGGGGGCCGCCUGCGGGCCCGGGGGGGCCGGGGCCGGGCCCUGCCCGGCCCUUCCCGGGCCCCCCCCCGCCCCCCGCCCCGAGGCGCGCAGAGGGCGCACGGCGCGCCCCGGACGCCCCCUCGGGGCUGCGGCCGCGCACGUGGACGGAGCGCGCGCGCGCGCCGCUGGCCCCGCCCCCUUCCCCCGAAACCACCCCCCCCGCGCCCAUCUCCCGCCCCCCCCCCCCACUCUGUCCCCGCCCCCCCCGAGGCUCUCCGCCAAUGGGAGGCGCCCCCGCGCUCGGCUCCGCCAAUCAGAUGGCGAGGACGGCGUCCCCCGUCCCCAUGGAGACCGAGGGGGGGAGCGCGGGAGAGGAGCCCCCGGGCCCGGCCAUGGAGCGCGGAGCGCGGCGGGGGACGGAGACCCCCAGAGGGUGGGCACCGGGGGGCACCGGGGGGUGCACCGGGGGGGCACUGGGGAGGGGGCCCAGGGGUGCUGGGGAGGCACCAGGGGGGUGUUUUGGGGGGUUCCCGGCGGGGUGCUGGUGACCCCGCCUGGUGCUGGGGUCACCCAAAGGGCAGGGGUCACCAGGGGGGCACUGGGGGUCGUGACCCCGCUGUCUGUCCCCGCACGCAGGGUGGCUCUGACCGGCUGUGUGCCCCCAAAGCAUGGGGGGGACCCCCGGGAUGAGCCCCCCCCGUGCACCGUGAGGAUGCGGGGGGACGUGCUGCUGCCCGUGGGGGGCUCGUGCCGGGGGGACGCGGCUGGGGAGCCCCCCGGGGUGGUGGUGGUGGACGGCGGUGAGGAGCCGGGCGCAGACGAGGAGCAGCAGGAGGAGCAGGAGGCCGCAGCCGAGGAGGUCCCAAAGGUGCUGGCUGUGGCCACGGAGCCCCCCCGAGGUGCCGGCCCCGAUGGCCGUGCAGGUCGUGCCCCGCGGGAGCUGCUUGAUCCACAACUGGCAGGAGGAGAGAGCCACCAACGACCUGGACCAGGUGCCGGUGCCGGAGAUGGGCAGCGAGGGCUUCGUCCACCGGCACGGCCACCGCGGGCUGCUGACCCUCCAGCCACCAGCCCAGCCGCCCCCCAGCAGCACCACCAAGCAGGCCUUUCGCCCGCCCCACAGCGUCCCGAUGCUGGCGAGAGGGCAGCGGGAGGCCAUGCUGGAGCUGAUGCUCUACCAGAAGUACAGGCAGGAGCUGCUGGAGGAGAUGUCCCCACCCCGUGCGCCCAUGGAGAGCCUCUCCACCACGCACCGGGAUUUCCAGGCAGGGGGCUUCCAGCCCACGCCGCCGCCCACCACCCAGCCCCACGACUACCGCACGGAGCAGCCCUGCAGCUUCUGGCUGGAGCAAGCCCGCAGCGUGCCCGGCGUCACCUGCAUCCGCACCGGGGACAGCCCCUUUCGGAGGAACGCUGCCUUCUCCACCCCCAUCACCGAGUACCUGGAGCAGCCCCUGCCCCACGUCGCCGAAAGCUACGGGGUGCGGCCGAGCAAGCAAUAAAGAGCAGGCGGUGUCCCUGCCCUGGCACCCAAGGGUGUCCCUGCGACCCUGCGCACCUUGGCUGUCCCCUGUGGGGCAGGGGACCCCGAUAA